GUCAAAAGAAGAUUAAACCUCAGCCAAAUCAGCUGCUGUUCAUCAAAAAUAAAUACCGAAACCGCAUUAGUGUUGAAGAGGACUUGAGAAUCAAGUUAAGUUCAAUCGACCCAGAUAUUGAAAAUUUGAUCAAGAACAAACAACAACAACAAGCUCAUUAGGAUCUGUUUAUAUUUAAAUGACUGUGUUCAAUUAUCUAAUUCAAGAUUGUUUUUAAUGUAUGAUACAUUUUAUUUUGUAAAUACAUACAUACAGUUGUA